GAGAAAAGCCCUAGAGGCAAACUCUGCAACAUGUGCUAAAAUAUCGGACAUGUUUGCCGCGACAGCUGGCCCGGCUUCAUUAGCACCUGCUUCGGUGGAAAUUGCGACGGCGGAGGCUGAGGAGGAUGACGGUGAUGAUGUGGACGGAGAGGUGACUGAAUGGAGGCCGAGGCCAAGUGCAGAGAUGGGUGGCGCUGGAGCUCAGCCUCAGACGAAGUGGCGGCGUUGCUCAAGUUCCUGCUCAUCCAAUUUCAUUGCCUUGCUACAUAUUUGUUCUUGUGGACUAUUGGAGGACCAUUCAACAUUUUCUCAACCUGCUGCCCUGUCCCCCAGGGAUGUUCCAGGGAUGUGCAUUUCAUUGGUGUGGACUUCACAGGCAUUCUUCAAAUUU
ensembl:lncRNA